rnacentral:rRNA from 1 species
GUCGAGGGGCAGCAUGGUCUUAGCUUGCUAAGGCUGAUGGCGACCGGCGCACGGGUGAGUAACACGUAUCCAACCUGCCGUCUACUCUUGGCCAGCCUUCUGAAAGGAAGAUUAAUCCAGGAUGGCAUCAUGAGUUCACAUGUCCGCAUGAUUAAAGGUAUUUUCCGGUAGACGAUGGGGAUGCGUUCCAUUAGAUAGUAGGCGGGGUAACGGCCCACCUAGUCAACGAUGGAUAGGGGUUCUGAGAGGAAGGUCCCCCACAUUGGAACUGAGACACGGUCCAAACUCCUACGGGAGGCAGCAGUGAGGAAUAUUGGUCAAUGGGCGAUGGCCUGAACCAGCCAAGUAGCGUGAAGGAUGACUGCCCUAUGGGUUGUAAACUUCUUUUAUAAAGGAAUAAAGUCGGGUAUGCAUACCCGUUUGCAUGUACUUUAUGAAUAAGGAUCGGCUAACUCCGUGCCAGCAGCCGCGGUAAUACGGAGGAUCCGAGCGUUAUCCGGAUUUAUUGGGUUUAAAGGGAGCGUAGAUGGAUGUUUAAGUCAGUUGUGAAAGUUUGCGGCUCAACCGUAAAAUUGCAGUUGAUACUGGAUGUCUUGAGUGCAGUUGAGGCAGGCGGAAUUCGUGGUGUAGCGGUGAAAUGCUUAGAUAUCACGAAGAACUCCGAUUGCGAAGGCGGCCUGCUAAGCUGCAACUGACAUUGAGGCUCGAAAGUGUGGGUAUCAAACAGGAUU